rfam:Stegodyphus mimosarum contig104706, whole genome shotgun sequence.
GCCUUCGUGGUGUAGUGGUCUGCAUGCUCAACCCGUAACCGAGAGGUCCGUGGUUCGAUUCCCGGCAAAGGCG